rnacentral:rRNA from 1 species
GAACUGAAGAGUUUGAUCCUGGCUCAGAUUGAACGCUGGCGGGAUGCUUUACACAUGCAAGUCGGACGGCAGCACGGGCUUCGGCCUGGUGGCGAGUGGCGAACGGGUGAGUAAUGUAUCGGAACGUGCCCAGUAGCGGGGGAUAACUACGCGAAAGCGUGGCUAAUACCGCAUACGCCCUACGGGGGAAAGCGGGGGACCUUCGGGCCUCGCACUAUUGGAGCGGCCGAUAUCGGAUUAGCUAGUUGGUGGGGUAACGGCCUACCAAGGCGACGAUCCGUAGCUGGUUUGAGAGGACGACCAGCCACACUGGGACUGAGACACGGCCCAGACUCCUACGGGAGGCAGCAGUGGGGAAUUUUGGACAAUGGGGGCAACCCUGAUCCAGCCAUCCCGCGUGUGCGAUGAAGGCCUUCGGGUUGUAAAGCACUUUUGGCAGGAAAGAAACGGCACGGGCUAAUAUCCUGUGCAACUGACGGUACCUGCAGAAUAAGCACCGGCUAACUACGUGCCAGCAGCCGCGGUAAUACGUAGGGUGCAAGCGUUAAUCGGAAUUACUGGGCGUAAAGCGUGCGCAGGCGGUUCGGAAAGAAAGAUGUGAAUCCCAGGGCUUAACCUUGGAACUGCAUUUUUAACUACCGGGCUAGAGUGUGUCAGAGGGAGGUGGAAUUCCGCGUGUAGCAGUGAAAUGCGUAGAUAUGCGGAGGAACACCGAUGGCGAAGGCAGCCUCCUGGGAUAACACUGACGCUCAUGCACGAAAGUGUGGGGAGCAAACAGGAUUAGAUACCCUGGUAGUCCACGCCCUAAACGAUGUCAACUAGCUGUUGGGGCCUUCGGGCCUUGGUAGCGCAGCUAACGCGUGAAGUUGACCGCCUGGGGAGUACGGUCGCAAGAUUAAAACUCAAAGGAAUUGACGGGGACCCGCACAAGCGGUGGAUGAUGUGGAUUAAUUCGAUGCAACGCGAAAAACCUUACCUACCCUUGACAUGUCUGGAAUCCCGAAGAGAUUUGGGAGUGCUCGCAAGAGAACCGGAACACAGGUGCUGCAUGGCUGUCGUCAGCUCGUGUCGUGAGAUGUUGGGUUAAGUCCCGCAACGAGCGCAACCCUUGUCAUUAGUUGCUACGAAAGGGCACUCUAAUGAGACUGCCGGUGACAAACCGGAGGAAGGUGGGGAUGACGUCAAGUCCUCAUGGCCCUUAUGGGUAGGGCUUCACACGUCAUACAAUGGUCGGGACAGAGGGUUGCCAACCCGCGAGGGGGAGCCAAUCCCAGAAACCCGGUCGUAGUCCGGAUCGCAGUCUGCAACUCGACUGCGUGAAGUCGGAAUCGCUAGUAAUCGCGGAUCAGCAUGUCGCGGUGAAUACGUUCCCGGGUCUUGUACACACCGCCCGUCACACCAUGGGAGUGGGUUUUACCAGAAGUAGUUAGCCUAACCGCAAGGGGGGCGAUUACCACGGUAGGAUUCAUGACUGGGGUGAAGUCGUAACAAGGUAGCCGUAUCGGAAGGUGCGGCUGGAUCACCUCCUUU